AGGUGGUGCAUGGUUGUCGUCAGCUCGUGUCGUGAGAUGUUGGGUUAAGUCCCGCAACGAGCGCAACCCCUAUUGCUAGUUACCAUCAUUAAGUUGGGGACUCUAGCGAGACUGCCAGUGAUAAACUGGAGGAAGGUGGGGAUGACGUCAAAUCAUCAUGCCCCUUAUGACCUGGGCUACAAACGUGAUACAAUGGCUGGAACAAAGGGAUGCGAAGCAGUGAUGUGGAGCGAAACCCAUAAAAACAGUCUCAGUUCGGAUUGAAGUCUGCAACUCGACUUCAUGAAGUCGGAAUCGCUAGUAAUCGCGGAUCAGAACGCCGCGGUGAAUACGUUCUCGGGGUUU
rnacentral:rRNA from 1 species